rnacentral:rRNA from 1 species
CACAAGCAGCGGAGCGUGUGGUUUAAUUCGAGGCUACACGAAGAACCUUACCUGGGUUUGACAUAGCGGUGGUAGGGAACCGAAAGGGGACCGACCUUCGGGAGCCGUUACAGGUGCUGCAUGGCUGUCGUCAGCUCGUGUCGUGAGAUGUUCGGUUAAGUCCGAAAACGAGCGCAACCCUCGGACGUAGUUACAGGUGUCUACGUCGACUGCCCGGGAGAACCGGGAGGAAGGUGGGGAUGACGUCAAGUCAGCAUGGCCUUGAUAUCCAGGGCUACACACACGCUACAAUGGUCGGUACAGAGGGCAGCUACCUGGUGACAGGAUGCUAAUCUCGAAAACCGGUCUCAGUUCGGAUCGAAGUCUGCAACUCGACUUCGUGAAGCUGGAUUCGCUAGUAAUCGCGCAUCAGCUAUGGCGCGGUGAAUACGUUCCCGGGCCUU